rnacentral:rRNA from 1 species
GACGGAGGAUGCAAGUGUUAUCCGGAAUCACUGGGCGUAAAGAGCUCGUAGGCGGUCUGUCACGUCGGCUGUGAAAACCCGAGGCUCAACCUCGGGCCUGCAGUCGAUACGGGCAAACUAGAGCGUUGCAGGGGAGACUGGAAUUCCUGGUGUAGCGGUGAAAUGCGCAGAUAUCAGGAGGAACACCGGUGGCGAAGGCGGGUCUCUGGGCAACAACUGACGCUGAGGAGCGAAAGCGUGGGGAGCGAACAGG